CGUCACUGGCGUCCUCCAGAGUGCCCACCGAUCGGAAAGUCGUACGAACCGCAAGCUUUGAACGUCUGUUUAUCGCAACAUCGAAAGCGGCGGCACAGAAGACGCGAUGUGAGCUCCGGUGGGAACAGCAGCCCUUUGUCUCGUAACGGUCCCUGACACCGCCUCUCCGACUUCUAAGAGCACACGGGUUUUUCCGGAAUCUUCCAAAAGAUGCUAGAACUUUUCUGAAGACCCCCCGUGGGGCUGUCGAGGAUGUUGCUAUCUCUACAAUAGCCGGAGAAGACGAAACAAGUUUUGCAAUGCACACGGACUGGCUCAGUUGUGAAUGUCACAAAUGCUCCCCUAACGAGGAUCAAAUCAAUGAAAGGAUGGCCUUGAUAAAUAAUAUUCAUGAGGCGAAGAGGAAGUACCCAUACAUGAUGAGCUUUGAGAGGUGACUUUGCAAGACUGACUAAGAUUGACCCAUCACCUUGUAUUGCAAAAGGGAUCAACAAAAUUGUGAAAAUGGCAGAAAUGAAACACAUCCCUUGCGAAGCAAGUGUAAUGGCAUCACUUCAAAAGGCUCGUGAGAUGUCACCGGAGAGGCUGCGAACACGACGUGAGUACUGUUACAAAGGCUUCAUCGGCAGC